rnacentral:misc_RNA from 1 species
AAACGGCAAUGAACGGCCAGAAUAUUCGCAUUCGUCUCAAGGCGUUCGACCAUCGAAUUCUCGAUACGUCGACCCGCGAGAUCGUGAACACGGCAAAACGUACCGGUGCACAGGUUCGCGGACCCAUUCCGCUGCCGACCCGCAUCGAGAAGUUCACCGUCAACCGUUCGCCGCACGUCGACAAGAAGAGCCGCGAGCAGUUCGAGAUGCGCACUCACAAGCGCCUUCUCGAUAUCGUCGAUCCGACCCCGCAGACCGUGGACGCGCUGAUGAAGCUCGACCUGGCCGCCGGUGUCGACGUCGAGAUCAAGCUGUAAGAUUUUUGUAAGUCCGCAGGUCGCGGACAGAAAGAACAGGAAGCACGCC